CAAACUCCUCCACGUGCCCACAACGUCCGUGCUUCUCCACAGACCCACACGGACCCCAGACCCCGUGAGUCCACCCCGAUGCCUACGAAGCAGCGUCAGGAAUUGCCUUUCGAGCUGGUGCGUGCUCCAGCACACCGUUAUCGAUCCCUGAAUAUUUCUGUAACCUAACGGAGACGCGGCUCACGCCGGGAGUUGCGCCAGGCCGCAGGAGGGGAGCUCUGUGUGGACAUGGUUGGGUGCAACACGUUUGUGGCAGGCUGGGGAUGAAGUUGAAGGGGAAGCCUGGUCUCGGCUGCAGCGCCCUGAGGGGAGCUGUGGCAGGUGCCAGCUGGGGGCAACUCUUGGGAGCUCCUGGGUGCUGCCAGGGCCAUGGCAGCCCCACAGGCAGCCCUAGCUGCAGCCAGAGAUCUGGGGCAAGGCACAGCAGGGACCCUGCAAAGCCAUAACGCCGCGCCCAUGGGUGCAGGAGGCGAGGCGGGCGGCUGCGAUGAGCUCGGCCCGUUCUCAGCACCCCGGGGUGCGAAAAAAGUCCCCAAGGAGACACGGAGCGGGCCGGGAGGGGGAGCGACAAAGAGCGCACGAAAAGCUAAGACGCUAUUGGCUCGCGCCGCUGUCCAUCCCGGCCCCGCCGCCAAUCCCAACGCGAGGCGCCGCGGGCCUAAAGGGGGGCGCGUUCGGCCCCGCCUUGGGCCAAUAGCGUGGGAGAUGGUGGGCGGGGCCGCCACUGGCGCCGUGCUGAGGGGGAGCCAAGAUGGCGGCCAGGGGGGGGCUCGGCGGCCCCGGCGCUGCCCGGCCCCGCUCCGCGGCCGCGUCGCUGCCGCUCCCCGCUCGCUGAGGGCCGCGGGCCGUUAAGCGAAGACCGAGCCGGGGGGACCGGACCCACUGCCUGAGGCUCUCCCCGGCUCCUUCCCGCCCUGCCCGGUCACCUUCCCGCGACCCCAGCGCGGGGGGAGGCGUGGGGUGCUUAAAAAACACGUGGGAGCCCGCUUGGGAGCAACGCCAGGCGCCGGCUAGCCCGGCUGCUCUGCCCGCACGGCUGCACCCCCCAGAGAGCAUUCUAAUGCUUCGGGUCCAGAUGGCCUUCUAAUGUGCGGAGGUGUGGCAGGGUAGAAGGACAGAGAGAGGGACCGAGAGGAAUGAGCGAGGAAGAAGUUAUGCUUGCAACUGAGAUAAGUGGUGAGAUAGGAACUCCAGAAGCUCCUACACUUAUUUUUUAUAGCGCGUACCACAUACUUGUGCAUACGUACACCCCACCUCCCACUCACGAUCACGCAGAGUAUUGCAUAAUAUUACCGUCUGAAUUUACAGAAUUACCCGAAUUGUUUUCAAAGGAAAAACUGAAUGUUAUUUUCCCUCGUUUGCAGACCAACUAUAGAUCUUUUGUCUUUUAACGUAUGUUAACGGCAGAAUACGAGAGCAGCCAAACAGCCUGUGACAAGUCUGUUCUGCACAUUGCUCUGGUUGGACCAGAGCUUGUUGAAGCUUAAAAAACAUGGGAAAACAUGUUACUUAAUGCGGAGCAGUAAUGCUGUGACAGAUUUCGCAUAGAAAUAAAAUCCUUUUAUGUAAGAUCCCACCGAACCCCCAGAGAACAACUAUGCAAAGCACAAUCCUAUCUAUGAAAGAUCACCAAAAAAAUCUAUCAAAUAGGUGUUUCAGCAUCUGCGUAGUGUUGGGAAGACAGUUACACUGUAAGUAAAAUCAUUUUAAUAACUGCAAUGAGCAAUUUCACUAGCUCAUUUCCCUUCUUUAUGUGAGAACUUCAUUUUGAUAGCAACAGAGGGUUUUCUUGUGUUUUUUUUUUCCCGGUGUUUUUUUUUAUUAUGACAAACUUGUGCAACUUCUUUUAUUUUGACCUCAGUUUUGAAGCUCUUUAUGCUCUUAGAUUUGCACUGAAAUUGGCUUAUUAUAAUCACAUUAGGUUCCGGUCUUGCAAAGAUUUGCAUACGUGCUUAAUGUCAGCCGUGUGAAUAGCCCCAUUAAAUUUGGUAGGAUGACUCGUGCACAACGUGAAGGAUGUACAGACAUCUCUAAAGAUUGGGGUCCAUAUGUUAGAACAUCAAAACAAGUUAUCCAUCAUUUAAUUUGAAAAUAGAGCUGUGGAACUAAUGUGUUAUUUGAAAAAACAUCCUGGACUUAUCUCAAAUCCCAGAGGCACAACUUAAUUUAAUUUCUUUGCUCUCCUACUUUCUAAAGGGUACGAGUGCAAAACCAGCGAUGUCGCUUCAAAUAAAAAGAGCAGCUGAGGCAGUUCAAACAGAGCUGGGCACCUUCAGUUGUGAUUUUCUUCACAUUUAUUCAAUUAUAUAAACAUACUUAAAAGGGAGAAAAUUAAUCAUUUGGAAUUGAAAACUGAAAAGUGACUUUUUUUGUUUGUUUGUUGAUUCAUUAAGCCUUAAGAUGAGUAUGCUUUUAGAUCUGUGCCUCGGUUUAUUCUGGGGCAGUUUUCUUCAGAAACACUGAAAUUAAUGCGAUUGCUAAAAAGGACCUGAGCACCUUAAAGGUCAAAAGCCGAUACCUCAGAGUGAUUAGCCGUAGCUGCAGUGGAUUUCAGCUGCAUUUGCAAGUGCUCAGCUGUACUUCCUAAGACCCUGCUCUCGUGUGGAAUAUUUAUAACCCUGUUCAGUCCCAGUAACUUCAGAGAGGUGACACAAACACCCAGCACUGACACCUCGGUGGUAAUUAAUGUUCUUUUUUUUUUUUUUUAAAAAAGGCAAAUCAGUUUUAAAACCCUUCUCAGGUAAAGUUUUCUGAGGAAAGAUCUGAUAUUAUGGUUGAUAGGAGGCAGAUUAUAAUUCUUGUGGCUAAAAGGAGUCAGCUGUCUCUCAUUCAACUGAAAAUUAAUAGGGGUUAAAGAUGAAUACUAACCUUCCAGUAUUAUUUAAUAGAGCACAACCCAACAAAAAAAGGAGUUAUCAAUCAGCGAAAGUGCUGACUGCAUCAGUUGUGAAGCAGCACUGGCUGAACAUGAUAUUAAAAGCUGUAUAAACCCACGUGAUCAGAAAACGACCUCGUACAGAGAAAUCAGGCAAAACAUCCCAUAUAUCACAAUUGCUUGGAAACACUGACAUUUUCACGGCGGAGUGAUGCUGAUGGCCUUGAACGCAACUGCAAUUAGUGAAGGAAGUGUCCAUCUGUUCUGGGGAAAAAAUGAAUUAAUAUAGGCUAUUUGGGCUUUUCUUUCAUGUCUUGUUUCUCUUGGGGAAAAAAAAAAAAAGACAUUCACAUUACCAGCCAGCACUCCACUGACCCAUGAUACGGGAAGCUGCAGAGGAUUGGGAACACUUUGCCUGGUUACUUAGGCAAGUGAGACAUGGAAAUACGAAAACAUCACCAUCCUUCUUGCAGCACUGCAAAGUUCUCAGAUGUGUUUAUAAUUUCCUGUGUUUUUUUUUUUUUUCUAACCCAUUAUCACACACUUAAAAACUGAAAAUGAUUCGUCUGCUUAGUCUUACUUAGAAUGUGAAAAGAUUAAAUACGAAAACGGAUUCUCUUUCUUUUUCCUAUGGGAUAAAAAUAAGUGUAUGGUUUUCUAAGAAGCUGUAGAUGCUUCCAAAGCUCUGCACUGAAAGGUUUCUAGGUAGUGUCCAAAAUGUGAUGAAUAUCGAGUCCUUGUUAAAAAAAUGCUGAUAACUUUGUAGUAUCUCUUAAAAAAGAAAGUUUCAUCUACUUCUUCUCGCUCACUCUCAACUGUAAGUACCUAAUAAAUCUGUCCCAUAAAGUUGCCACUCACAGACCUAAUUUGCUGUCAAAAAACUUGCACAGGUUUAUGAUGAAGGUUUCACUUUCCGAGUAACAAUAAAAAAUAACGCUUCCUAAAUUCAGAAAUAAACGCAGAAUGAGCACAAGUAUUUCGUGAUGGACAUCUGUACCUUGUGUGAGGUGGGCACAGCUGAAUUGUAUCAACAUCAUUAUUUUUAUUGCAGAUCCUUAAUAUAAAUAGCAAGCAUGUUUCUGACUGGCCUAAUUUACGGAAUUUUGGAUGUUCACUUCGUAGCUGAGUGAUUCUUACCACUCAAAUUCGUAUUUUAAAGUAUGUAAACUACACGAGGGGAAAAACUAACAAAAGGAACGUACAUCAGUUAUGUCAGUGUGGGUCACCUAACAGACGCACCUGUGCCGCAGCACAACAUUUCUUCUUUGACUAAUAGUGUCUGUCAGGGUCACACACCCCAUGGCUCUUGUGCUGAUUUUAAAGUAUUUUAUACCUUGGCCUGAGUCAGUGUCCCUGUCAAGUAAGUGUUUUUCAAGCUCCUUACAUGACAAGUGAAUAUGAAUUAUUUUUUUUUC